ACCCAGAUGACGAGUCCGAAAUCGGACGAAACGCGUGUUCUAGAU
rnacentral:hammerhead_ribozyme from 1 species